AUGCUCUGGUUCUCAUCAUCUCAAAUAAAUCUUUUGCCUUUUACUAAAGAUUUCCAUGGAGAGGACCGUUAAAGAGUCUCAAAGAAUUUUUGCACAGCCUGUUUUGAACAGGCAG
rnacentral:snRNA from 1 species